GAGGAAAGAAGGAAAAUGAGGGUUGGAUAUGAUAUCACGCGUCAAAGUUUAAGUGGCGAUUUCAAUCCAAAUGAUAAUUUCACUGAAAUCAUCUAUCCAAGUAGCGAUUUCAAUUUUGUCUAUCUCAUCUUGUCAACUGAGAUCGAGAUGGAGUGAGUUGGCUGUGAAAUCGUCAUUUUAAGUGGUGAUUUCACGUAAGGAUAGUAGUUUUAAAAAUAAGUUGGGGGAGA
rnacentral:lncRNA from 1 species